rnacentral:rRNA from 1 species
UACCUGGUGACAGGAUGCUAAUACUCGAAAACCGGUCUCAGUUCGGAUCGAAGUCUGCAACUCGACUUCGUGAAGCUGGAUUCGCUAGUAAUCGCGCAUCAGCUAUGGCGCGGUGAAUACGUUCCCGGGCCUU